ACUAAAAAUAGUUAGAUCUUGGCUACGAAUUUACGCUAACUAUCGGCAUUACACAUGCAAGUUGUAUGAAAAGAACGUAGUUAACGACUAUCGUUAGAUCAUAGCAUACGGGUGAGUUUUAUAUAGGAAUAUAAACUAAUAUAUGGAAAAGGAAUAAANANGGGNAANCCCGCCAUAAAAUAGAGCCUAUAAAAAAGAUUAGGUAGUUGGUAAGGUAAUGGCUUACCAAGCCGAGGAUCUGAAAUCUAUACUAGAAAAAAGAUAGAUCACAGUAGCAAUGAAAAAGAGCUACGUAGGAUAAAUAAGCCUGCCAGCAGUGGGGAAUCUUGGACAAUGGGGGAAACCCUGAUCCAGCAAGAUAGUAAGAGUGCAACGUAAAUAAGCAUAAAACUUCUAAAGAGAAAGAAAAAUAAUGAUAUAACUUCUCAAUUAAAUCCUGACAAAUUUCGUGCCAGCAGUCGCGGUUAUACGAAAAGGAUGAGCGUAAUUCAUAAUAUCUAGGUGUAAAGGGUCAGUAGGCAGCUAAUUUGAAUCAAAACUAAAGUGUUGAUUCUAUGUUUUUAAACAGAAAUAAAUUAGCUUGAGUGUAUAAAGGGGAAUAGAAAUUAGAGGUGUAGGGAUAGAAUCUUAUUAUAUUUCUAGGAAUACUAAAAAGCGAAGGCAUUUUUCUUUGAAACACUGACGCUAAUAGACUAAAGUGUGGGUAGCGAAGAGGAUUAGAUACCGUAUUAGUCCACACCCUAAACGAUGAGUGCUAUAUUAAACAAGAAAGCAUUCCACCUGGGGAGUACAUUCGCAAGAAAGAAACUUAAAAGAAUAGACGGUUUUUAAGACCAGCAGUGAAGCAUGUUAUUUAAUUUGAUAGCACCCAAAUAAUCUUACCAAUCUUUGAAUAGAUUAUUAGAUAUAUAGAAAAUCAUAACAGCUCUUGUUUAGGCAAGUGCAGUCCAUGAAUGGAAAUAUAUUUGUAAUUUACAGGUAUUGCAUGGCUGUCUUCAGUUCGUGUUUUGAGAUGUAUGGUUAGGUCCGAGAACGAACGAAAUCCUCUUGACUAAUUAAAUCUUAGUAAAAUCGACUCCUAAAGGAAAGAUCGAGGGGGUUAAAGACAAGUCCUUAUGGUUUUAAUAGAUUGGGCUAUAGACGUGCCACAUAGGUAGUAACAAUAGGAAAUGAAGAAAACCUUAAAAACUACUAUGUACAGAUGGAAGUCUGAAAUUCGACAACCUGAAGUAGGAAUUGCUAGUAAUCGUGAAUCAUGAUGUCACGGUGAAAAAGAAUAUUAACUAUGUACUAAUCGCGCGUCAAGGAUAGGGAAGAAAAAAAUAUGAAAAUUAAUAGUAAUUAUAGAAGAAGAAUAUCAUUCUUGAUGGUAUAUUGAAAAUAUAAAAGCUAGCAAUGAUUAUUUUAUUAUAACCUAUCUUAAGUCGUAACAAAGUUACGGUAGGGGAACCUGUCGUAGAAUGGUAACCACU
rnacentral:rRNA from 1 species